CAGCAGCCGCGGGAAAACAGAGGGUGCGAGCGUUAAUCGGAUUUACUGGGCGUAAAGCGUGCGUAGGCGGCUAAUUGAGUCGGAUGUGAAAUCCCCGAGCUUAACUUGGGAAUUGCAUUCGAUACUGGUUAGCUAGAGUGUGGGAGAGGAUGGUAGAAUUCCAGGUGUAGCGGUGAAAUGCGUAGAGAUCUGGAGGAAUACCGAUGGCGAAGGCAGCCAUCUGGCCUAACACUGACGCUGAGGUACGAAAGCAUGGGGAGCAAACAGGAUUAGAUACCCCCGUAGUCCCUGUCUCUUAUAC
rnacentral:rRNA from 1 species